rnacentral:rRNA from 1 species
GACGAACGCUGGCGGCGUGCUUAACACAUGCAAGUCGAACGGAAAGGCCCUGCUGUUGUGGGGUGCUCGAGUGGCGAACGGGUGAGUAACACGUGAGUAACCUGCCCUUGACUUUGGGAUAACUUCAGGAAACUGGGGCUAAUACCGGAUAGUAGCUCCUGCUGCAUGGUGGGGGUUGGAAAGUUUCGGCGGUUGGGGAUGGACUCGCGGCUUAUCAGCUUGUUGGUGGGGUAGUGGCUUACCAAGGCUUUGACGGGUAGCCGGCCUGAGAGGGUGACCGGCCACAUUGGGACUGAGAUACGGCCCAGACUCCUACGGGGGGAGGAAGUGGGGAAUAUUGCACAAUGGGCGGAAGCCGGAUGCAGCAACGCCGCGUGCGGGAUGACGGCCUUCGGGUGGUAAACCGCUUUCGCCUGUGACGAAGCGUGAGUGACAGUAAUGGGUAAAGAAGCACCGGCUAACUACGUG